rnacentral:rRNA from 1 species
GUCUACGGUCAUACCACGUUGAAAGCACCAAUUCUCGUUCGAUCAGUGGUUAGUACUUGGAUUGGUGACCGCCUGGGAACACCGAGUGCUGUAGACU